UUGACAUUGUGGCAUUGUGGCCAGACUCCCUUGGCGUGACAUUGUGGCCAGCACUCGGCAAUGUCAGCAUGGAGCAAUUACUGAGCCCCAAAGGGAUUCUUCCGCUGAUUUGGUUAUAGCUGAGUUCAAGCACAGCAAAAGAUGGUGCGCUGGCACAGAAUGAUGCCUUCCUAGGAACAGCAGUCUGUACUAUUAUGCCAUGAUGCAGUGAGGCCGAUGUCCUGGGAUAGCCUGGCGAGGAACCGGAGUAGGGAGCGCAUUUCCUGCUCGGUGCAAUGAGCCGGCUGGAGAGACGAAAGACAGCAGAAGCAGCACAAGAACAGGGCCAUAGGAAAGCAUCCUGCUGCAUGAGGAAUGCGGUCUUGGUCUCAUGGUUCUUGUGGACACUAUCACGGAAUAGUGUGCUUGAUUCAGCAAGAUAAACAGGUGCAUUUAAUGACGCGUGGACCCAAUACGUGAAAAAAGGGGACAAGCAUAAGGAAGGAAUCACCAACUUCUAUCACCACCAAGACUUCCUAUGCCGUCAACAAGUUGGUCACACUUGUGGUUUCCACGUGUGCCAUAGCGUGAAGACUUUGCUAAAUAAGGUGACAUUGCUAGAUGUUGAGGCUAGGAUUAACAACAUUCCGCCGCACAACUUCGCGCACAUUAGGGAGGAAAUAGCUGCCUUCAUACUUGCGAAAAUCAUAUCUUCAAAAGGAAGCUUUGUUUCAAAGUAGCCCAUCCAAAAAUUGUUGAACAUUUAUCAAUUCUUAUAAAAAACAUGUGAUUAUGUGAUAUUUAUGUAUAUAUUAUAUGUAAUACAAUAUCUGAUUCUUUUGUA